CGGCGAGUGAAGCGGCAAAAGCUCAAAUUUGAAAUCUGGUACCUUCGGUGCCCGAGUUGUAAUUUGGAGAGGGCAACUUUGGGGCCGUUCCUUGUCUAUGUUCCUUGGAACAGGACGUCAUAGAGGGUGAGAAUCCCGUGUGGCGAGGAGUGCGGUUCUUUGUAAAGUGCCUUCGAAGAGUCGAGUUGUUUGGGAAUGCAGCUCUAAGUGGGUGGUAAAUUCCAUCUAAAGCUAAAUAUUGGCGAGAGACCGAUAGCGAACAAGUACAGUGAUGGAAAGAUGAAAAGAACUUUGAAAAGAGAGUGAAAAAGUACGUGAAAUUGUUGAAAGGGAAGGGCAUUUGAUCAGACAUGGUGUUUUGUGCCCUCUGCUCCUUGUGGGUAGGGGAAUCUCGCAUUUCACUGGGCCAGCAUCAGUUUUGGUGGCAGGAUAAAUCCAUAGGAAUGUAGCUUGCCUCGGUAAGUAUUAUAGCCUGUGGGAAUACUGCCAGCUGGGACUGAGGACUGCGACGUAAGUCAAGGAUGCUGGCAUAAUGGUUAUAUGCCGCCCGUCUUGAAACACGGACA
rnacentral:rRNA from 1 species